rnacentral:rRNA from 1 species
GAGUUUGAUCAUGGCUCAGAUUGAACGCUGGCGGCAUGCCUUACACAUGCAAGUCGAACGGCAGCAUGAUCUAGCUUGCUAGAUUGAUGGCGAGUGGCGAACGGGUGAGUAGUACAUCGGAACGUGCCCUGUAGUGGGGGAUAACUAGUCGAAAGAUUAGCUAAUACCGCAUACGACCUGAGGGUGAAAGUGGGGGACCGCAAGGCCUCAUGCUAUAGGAGCGGCCGAUGUCUGAUUAGCUAGUUGGUGGGGUAAAGGCCCACCAAGGCGACGAUCAGUAGCUGGUCUGAGAGGACGAUCAGCCACACUGGGACUGAGACACGGCCCAGACUCCUACGGGAGGCAGCAGUGGGGAAUUUUGGACAAUGGGCGAAAGCCUGAUCCAGCAAUGCCGCGUGUGUGAAGAAGGCCUUUGGGUUGUAAAGCACUUUGUCCGGAAAGAAAUGGCUCUGGUUAAUACCUGGGUCGAUGACGGUACCGGAAGAAUAAGGA